GCCCGGUUGGCACAAUUGGUCAGCGCGUGAGACUUUUAUACUUAGAGAUCUCAAGGUUGUGAGUUCGAGCCUCACAUCGGGCG